GCUUACGGCCAUACCACCCUGAAUGCGCCCGAUCUCGUCUGGUCUCGGAAGCUAAGCAGGGUCAGGCCUGGUUAGUACUUCGAUGGGAGACCGCCUGGGAAUACCAGGUGCUGUAAGCU
rnacentral:rRNA from 1 species